rnacentral:lncRNA from 1 species
UUUUUUUUUUCUGUUUUUCAUUUUGUUUCUUUUUGUCAGUAAGAUAGUUUUGAAGUUUGCUGCUAAGAUAAAAAAGUUAGGGCCUCACAUUUUCCCAUAGGACUCAGCAGUUGAUCUUUAUUCCUAGAGAGAACAUUUUAUACUAUUAUAACUAUCAAAGUGAAAAGCAAUUGAUCUCUCAGCAGUAUAUCAAUUUAUUAUGUUUCAUCAAUUUUCAGGUAGCACAUGCACAGGCAGAGGAAGCCAGCAACAUGCGGAAGCGGCUCAAUGAUGAAAACUUUACAGUGGCAAAACCAUCCCAUGCAACUUCACCAUUAGAAGCAAAUGCAAAAGUAGGCCAAGCAUCCAAGAGGACAGCUGCAGAUAUAGCAGCUGAGGUUGCAGACAAGCUUACAGCUUCGAGCUCCUCUCAGUUGAUCAUGACUUCUGUUCUCUCAACAUUUGCAGCUGAAGAGGCGAAGAAUGCCGGUCUGACAAAGACCUCUACAGUAUCAAAUUCUUUCACACCCAUGCCCAGCAAUUCAAAACCAGAAAACUCCAUGCCAGUUUCAGAUCCCAAUGUUUUUAUGUCAACCCAGACCCUUACUGCUCCACCAAACCAACCAUAUCAAUCAGUUAUUAUUGCCCCACCAACCAUGCAGAGCCAGACCCCAACUUCUCAAACUCAGUAUCAUAUGCUUCCCAAUCCACCUUCCCAGCAAUAUUUGCAACCAUCAGGAGGGAUUAUGAACCCAUAUGGUUAUGGUAGCAUUCCGCCCUUGCCACCAGGGCCACCUCCACCCCCAUCUACACUACAUAUGGUGAAUCCAAUGGCUCCUUUGCCUCAGCAGCAAUCAAUACCAUUGGUUCAGCAGCCAGCUCUAUUAACUCGUCAUCAACCUAUGCCCUUGACUCAGCAACCCCCAGCACCUCCCAGUUUCCGGCCGCUUCAGCUUCCUGGAAUGGUGUAUUAUGGUCUCCCUCAUCAUUCUCAGUGAAGUUCUUUGAGCCAAUGAAAGAUUCCCAUAGGGUUUUGAAAUUUUUGCUUGUGCAAUUGGCUCUGUUGAGAUGACAAGCAUGAAGAGCUCUGACAAUAAUUAGGCAAAUAUGCAUUUGGACAGCAACAGAUAAUGCAGGUAUAAGGGUAGCAAUUUCGUUUAUUUUCAGUGAAUUUGUAGAGUUUAUGUUCCAUAGAUGAUGAUGGUAAUGUUAAAAGUAUCUCCGGUAGUUUAUGAUUUUUCCUUUCUUCUGGAGAUUUAUACCCUGUAAAAUGAUGGUUUACAGACUGCUGACGGCCCUGUAUUGCAAAUCAAAUCAGAGAAAGGUAAUACCUUUACUUAGUUGUUUCUCAAAUGUCUUUGACAGAAUCUUUUCUGGUUUCAGUUUCUAAAUUCGAUGUAUAUAAUGUAAUCUCAUAGGUGACUCGUCAAAGGGACUUGCCUGUUGUGUUCUCCCUUGCAUGAGACACAGUCUUUGGUUGGUUGCAUCCUUCUGGCUUCAACCUUCAGCGGAUUGACAAGAGACUUAAAAAAAGUCCAUUUGGGGAUGAUUUUUAGAGGAUGAAAAGCAUUUUAUAAUGCUUGAAAGCAAUAUAUAUAUUAUUGGAAUUAGGUAUUAAAUAAGUUUUAGAAAAUUAUUUUUAAGAUUUUGGUUCGUGAUUAUUUUUUAUUAUAAAACCCAUUAGCUAAAAUACUAUCAUUUUUCUUAUUUUUUACAUUCAAGCACAAAGUUGAAAAUUUAAGGGAAAAUGUAAGUGAAAGGAAAAAAAAAAAAAUUGAAUAAAUGAUUAUUAUGUAAUUUAAAAAAUUAAUUUCACUUAUUUUUCAAUAUAUAAAUAAAUAAUUUAAAUAUAUAUAAAUUUAACUAAAAUUUAAUAAUAUUUGAUUUACUUGAUUUUUUUUAUUUAAACCAAACAUAAGAUAAAUGUUUUACUUGAUAUUUUUUCCUUUCUUUAAUGCUUUAAAAUAUUAUUAUUAUUAUUCAUUUUUGCAUUUUUUAUUUUUUAUUUUUGAAACCAAAUAUUAGAUGAAUGACUCUUUAAAAUUGUCUCUAUUAGAAAUAUUAUUAAAAAAGGGCUAGAGAUUAAAAAUGCUCUAGCUAAAAUUAGUUCUAAAUCAUAAAAUAAAAAAAAUAAAAAAACCCGGAAAUGAAAGAAAGAAAGAAAAAUUUGAACUCACUUUGAAUAAGGGCUAGAAAAUUUGAAGCUGAGAAUUGAGAUUUUCAUUAAGCCGCCUGGGAUCAUUCUUUCCCGAUGCUGUUAAAAGCAUGCCUUCAUAUCUAUGCAGUGCACUUGGAAAGAUUAAAAGACAGUCUUCGUGAUAUUUCUCUUGGUUUCUAUUAGGUGCCUAUUUUCUCUUAAAACAAACAACUGUUACAGUUCUAGUCUUGUGGAAACAACAUAGUGCAAGAUGCAUAGAUGGAAAUGUGAAGCAUAAUCAUAAGAUUCUGAAUCUCCAUUCUCAGUAUGAAUAUUGAGUUUGAACACCAUGAUAUCUUCCUCCAUGUAAAGGGAAGUAGGCAUUAUCCGAUGGUUAGAAUCAUACCCUAAACUCUCAAACUUUUUCAUCAUGGAGAUUUCUUGGAUUAAUCAACUAAUUUUGGAUAAGCAACAGUUACGAACACCAAGAGCUGUUACUCAAGUUUUCCAUAUCCAUGCAUACAGGCGUGGAUACAUGAAUCUAAUUAACCAUUUAUAGGCUACGAACGACAGAAAUAUAAUGAAUUUUUGUGUAUCUUUAGCAUUUCAUUGCUAACCUGAGUAUGAAAUCUCUAAUAAAGAGAGGUAGAUGGUACAUGAUUGCCAUUAUGGUGGAGUAAUGGCCAUAUGAGAACCAAGCUGGUGGAUUCUUAUUCAGAACAGCAGCUACAGUCUUCUUCGCAAACUCUUCUGAAGGUGUCGACUUGGGGCCUUGUGAAAAGUUGGUUCUCUCUCGUAUAGCUGCUUCGAAUGGCUUGUAUAAUUUCCACUCAGGCAUCCUGUUGUAGCUGGCUAAUGCAGAGUUUCCAAUGUUUGACUUAACAGCUCCUGGAGCAACAUUAAUCACGUCGAUCCCAAAAGGCCGGAGUUCCAAUCUGCAUAUAAAGGUGGGCAGUGUAAAAGUCAUAAGAAUCAUUAGUCUCAUGAGAAAAUCCCACAAACGGUGAGGCAUUUGAGUAGCCUACAAAUGGUAAGCUCAGCCAUGCACUAGAUUCUCAUGGGGCAAAUGUACAUCUGAAAUCACAUUACAUCAUAGAGAGUGGAAUAUCGUAUGCAUUUGAAAUGAUGAUCAUAAAAUUAUUAAAUUUCAACUUUUAAGGAUCUUAGAUUCAAAACACCCACAAAACUGCUGUUGCAAAGUCAGUUUUGAAUUACAGUCUAGUCUAUGGAUAUAACUAAAGGCAGUGGAACCCAGGAAUUGUUGGGUACAGUGAAAGUGAUAACUCCCUCAUCAUUCGUAUGCUAUAUUGUUCUCAAACUGAGGUUUAUAAUGCAUAGAAAGCAUGAUGAAAAAGUACAUCUUGGAUGAAAUAGAGUCCUAGUUUCUUUAUCUUAAGAAAACCUCCUUGGAAGCACUCUACCAACACAAGGUGGUUUGUUUUUGCAGCAAUUCUCCUAAUAUUCUUAACAUGGAUGAAGAUAGUGCUGGAACUUUGUUCUGCGCCAUUUAUCACUCAAAUGCAGGCAUGAGCAAAAAUUCUUCGCAGUCGUCAAUUUUAUGCAGAUAAGAAACAGAUUGUAAGUAAAAGUAACAGCAGUGUCUACAUUGUACAAACCUCAAGGUAUCAGUUAGUGAAUGAAGAGCAGCUUUAGAUGCAGUGUAACCACCUGCCCAUGGUCCCGGGCCCAAAACAGUAACACUUCCAAUAUUUACAAUCUUUCCCUUUCUCCUAGAUGCCAUGUGAGGGAUAACAGCUUGAAUCAAUCUCAUGGAACCUACAUAUGGGUAUAACAUAAUAAGUGCAAGAAGAAAUAAUGUUGUUAAAUUCAUAAUAGUAGACUUGAUGUUAUGUAAUCAGUUGUUCAUAACAUUCUUUGAAACAGACAGAAUGAAGGAGCUCAGCAGAGCAAUUUAAAAGAUGUGUGAUAGUGUGCUAUAACAACAUUAUGAUAAACAUGAAGGAUGGAUGACAUACAAAAGACAGAAGAAUGAUCUCAUGGUGCUAUCUUCCUAAUCUUGACAAUGUGAGAAAAGCAUUUUUCUGUGGGACUGCACCAUGUGUCAUGGUACAUUAGAAAACAAAGUGAGCCACAUUUUCAUAGCCAUUUUGGUAAGAUUAAAUGGGUUAAGGAAGAAAGUACUGGGGUCAAUAUUGACAAGCAUGAGGAUUUUCAAAGUGGGGGUGUGUGGAGGAUAAACCAGGCCUUAAAACCUCUAAGAGUUGAACUGCAUAAAUGAAUAUCACCAAUCUUAGCUCAAAUAAGCCAUUGAGACCCUAACUAUGCCUAUAAUUCGAGUAGAAUGAGUUGAGAAUGUAGAGAUUAAAAAAUGGAGAAUAAAAAUUAAGAACAUGAUCAUGUGGUUGAUCAUCUUCCUAGCCAAGAUGAAGACUAAUAGAUAAUGAAUCCUAGUCUGUUACACCCAAAAAGAAGAACGUCUUCUUUAGAAGGCAUGGUUAAGAAAUAUAUAGCUGACAAGGAAGCCAAUUGAAAAUAUUGACAUGCAUUUCUUCUUUACAACAAGGCUGAUCAAGAAAGACUUGUGGGUAACAUUGUCCUCUUAACAUUUCUUUUUUUUCUUUUAAACCAAAACUUUUGUACCCCUCUACCUCUAUUCAAGUAAAUAAAGAACAAAAAGACAGGGAACUCCGCUACCCAGAGCAGCCUAGUCCAAUCUGUAAAAAACACAUAUUAGAAAAUGUGAUAUUUGCAGAAUGUUCCUACCAGAUUUAAUGGUCAUAAAGAUACCUUUCAUUCUUAAAAAAAAAAUUUCUAUACCAACAACAAAAGCCCAAGUACUGAAAUUCAUUAUUCUCAGUGCCGAAAAUGCAGCUAAAGUUAUUAAAAUUAUUGCAGCCAAACAAGAUUACAAUGGCUGGCUUGUGCAUCGAUGCUUCAUUAUUUUGGUGUCCCUAGACUUUUCCUAGUUGUUUUUGGCUACCAUUAUCCUCUUAGACACAAAUGCAGGCUAGUCCUCCACCCUCCUCAGAUCAUGAUCAUCAAUCCAUCAGAUCCCAUAAAAGUAAUUGAGUCUGCAUCAAUGCUGUUGAAAUUAAAAUUGACAUCCAACCGAAGAGUGGUUCACUAGAAAACCAAAAUCAGCAAACAGAACAAAUUCAGAACAUUCAGAGCCAAAAUAUCCAAAGCUUUCAUGUGAAUAAGCACCAAACUCAAAACUAAUCAUAAAUUUCCUCUUCACCCACAAAAGCUACCUGAAUUCAAAAAUAACCAAGUCGUUCAUUAUAUCUAUAGAUAGAAACACCAAGCUGACAACAUCAAAUUUCAAAAUAAUCAUAAUUUGGCUGAUUACCCAUAUAGCUAUAUUGAGUCGGAAACUAAUCUUGCUAUACAUUAAUAUUAUCAAACAUAAAUAGCAAAGUUGAACAAACAGAAAGAAAAACAAUGAUUAUAUAUCAGCAACAUGAAGGCAAUAACAUCAGAUCAAUCAUCAUUUUCCUAAUUCUUCUGAUUGUCCCAUAAUUAAUGAAAACAAUUAUCCGUAAGCCAUAAUUUCAUAAUCAUUAAUUACAAAACAUACCAUUUUGCAGCACUAAAAUUUGCACAUAACUCAACAAAUCGAGAAACCAACAUACAUUGAAAACAAAAACCCUUAACCACUCCAAUUAUGCAGUUUUCAAUUGUUUACAGGAACGUCGCUAUCAUAACAUAGAAACAAGUGGAGAAAAAUUACCAAAGACAUUGGUAUUAAAGGUGUUCUCUAUCGCAGAGAGAGGAAUUUCAGCGAGAGGCCCAACGCAUUGGAUCCCAGCGUUGUUAACCAGAACAUCGAUCCGCCCAAAUUUCUCAAGCACACUCGAAAACACAUGGUGGACGCUCUCCUCUGACAAAACGUCCAGCUCCUGGAGAAAAAACCUAGAAUCGUGGUCUAGAUCCGCCAUCGACGGCAGCGACCGACUCGUCGCCACCACCAGACACUUCUCCUCCGCGAAGGCGCGUGCGAGUGCGUGACCAAUGCCGCCCUCGGAGCAGCCGGUGAUGAGAACCACCUGGCGAUCGUAGUAUUCCAUUUGGGAAGACUUGAGUGAUGUGCGGGAAGGAAAAAGUGGGAGAAGAAUUCAAGUGAGAAAAAGCAUGUGGAUUGUGGACACGGUUGUUUUGAUCUUGUUGGAGUAUGUCGUUGGUUUUAAAGUGUUUUUGACGUGUCCAUUUUUGUCCGCGUGUGCAUGGCCCAUGGCGCAAUGUACUUGCAUUUAAUAUAAAACUUCCAACCGUUCAAUAAAUGGCCUGUUUGGAGAGUUUUGGGCCGAAAUAGCCCUUAAAAAAAAAUGUAGGUUUAACCCUUUACAAAUCUUAUGAAAUUAAUCUCUUUAUUGCCACGAGCCAUCAAAAUUGGUAAUUAAGGUUUUAGUUAAUUUUUUUCUUUAAAAUUUAAUUAAAAAUAUUAAAUUAUAAAUUAUUAUUGAAAUUAAAAAUAUAAACUUUAAUAAUAAAAAAUUUAUAUAUUUAAAUCUAAAGAUCUAGUAUUAUUUCAAUACAUAAAUUGAUAAAUAUAAUAAUAAAUAAAUAUUUUAUUUAUCAAUAAAUUAAUAAUUUUAAAAUAAUAAAGUUAUAUGAAAUAUAAAUAAGAUAUAAAAUUAUAUAAUUUAUUAAUUAAAGAUAUUUAAUUUAUUAUAUUUUUAAGAUAUUAAUUUAUUUGUAUUUUGAUAAAUUUAAUUUUAUUGAAAUAAUAGUAUACUUUUAAGUUUCUAUGUAUAAAUUUUUUAUUAUGUUAAAGCAUAUGUUUAUAAUUUUACGUAAAAAAAAAGGAUUAUUAUUUAUACAAGCAAUAUAUUCGCCUUCAAAAAAUUAACUAAAAUAAUCGACAAUUAUGAUUUCAGUUAAAAAAUAAAGCUUCAAUUGACCUCAAUUAAAACAUGAAGCCUCAAUUUGGUAAUCGAGGCUUUCACCGAUAUUUAGAAAAAAAAAAAAUUUUAUGACGAGACUCCUACAUGGUAAUAAAAGGGCUAUUUUAAACAUAAGUUUUACAAAUAGAUUAAACUUUUUAUAUAUAUAUAUUUUAUAAAAGGAUUAUUUUGCUCUCGAAACUCUUGUUCUUUCAAGGAAUAUAUACAUGGUAAUAAAAGGGUUAUUUUAAACAUAAAUUUUACAAAUAGAUUAAACUUUAUAUAUAUAUUUUAUAAAAGGAUUAUUUUGCUUCCGAAACUCUUGUUCUUUCAAGGAGACGACCGUGUUUGUUAUAUUAAAAAAUAGGUUUAAUAAUAAUAUAUAUAUUUUUAAUAAAAAUCUUAAAAUUGUGCGAUUUUUAAGAGCAAAAUUUGUAGGUAUUUUAUUUUUUAAGACUAUUAUGACAAGUUUUCAAAAAUAGUUUCUAAGAGGACCAAAUUUUAUUAGGAACUAAAAUGAAAAAUAGUUUUUAAAAUUUAUUUUUAAAUAGGGUAUCUGUAUCCUUAUACCAAAAAAAAACUUUCAGGAUACUUUUCAUAUUUUCAAUUAUUACUUAGACAUUUUAUAAAUAAAUAAAAAAAAUCAUUGAAGAUAUCUCAACUUUAUUAUUAUAAAAUUUAAUAUGUUUUCAUAACAAAUUCCCAAAUAUUUUUUUUAUCAAAGGUUUAAUUAAAAAGUUUUUUGAGUAGGAAAAUAGUUUCCAAAAAGGUCAUGAAGUUUUUAUUUAUAGAUUUUAUUUAUUUUUAAAAGAAUUAUUCUCAAAAACCCAUUUUUUUUUUAAAUUGUAAAAAAAAUCCCAAGUUUCUUUACAUUGACAAUCGGAUUUAUUUAUUUAUUUUUUAAAUAAAUAUAUAGGUCAAAGACAUUGAACUAGAAUGCCCGUUGAUCCUUUGCUCAUGUGCUUUAAGGGACCCCAUUAAUCCAUGAAAAGUACUUCUUCACAAAUCUUUGGAUUUUCUCAACAAUUCUUUUUUCCUGAUGAAUAUCAUCACCGAGGCUUUCUCCCUCUCUGAUCAAACCUGAAGAAACUUUUGCCCAUGUCUUUCCUGCUUGAUGCUUCUUCUCAUUGAUGCAUUCAUUUGUUGAGAAGUUCAAGACAGCAUAUGUUGUAAAUCAGCUGCACCAUUUGGUUGAAGAUAUUACUCAAAUACAGAUCUGUUAGGUGCCAAAAGGCCUUAUAAAUUAAACCCCUCAAUAGAUGCCCCUACUGCAUUCCAUGUAUUCUUUAUGGGCUUCACUAUUACUAAUUCCAUUUUCUAUACUAAUUAUUGGAAAUAUGAUCUCCGGAUUCAUCUGCUCAUCUUCCCCGCCUUCUUUAUUUAUCUCAGUUCCUUCUUCGGGUUCAGACCUAGGCUGAUUGCUGCUGUUCCUGUCCAGGGUCUCUCCGGUAUGCACCAGCAGUUCCACCAGACAAAAAACACCUGAUUCGUUUAGGCUCCAAGUGUUGAAGUCUGAGGGCUGCAGUGUUGCUGACUUGCCGGCCGCUUCCCUCAGCAGGUGGGAGGAGCCGGAGGUCGUCACCCAAGCCAACUCUAGGGCUUCAAUGAUAUUGGUGAACACGGAGAUCUUCGGGUAAGCCUCCGGUAUGUCGACUGGACGCCUGGGAUUUUUGGCGUCUGCCCUCAUCUCAUGAAUAUCAGUGUGUGUGGACUGUAGGAUGCCAGCAAGGAUGGCUUUCAUCACCACCUGAGCGGUCCCUGAAGCCCGACACACCCUCAACAACUCCGAGCUCUGGUCGCCGACUGCCGUGGGAGAUAAUCCGAUGAAGUGCCCGGAUUGCAGAAGCUUUGAAUCUAAAGUACUUCGUAUUUGGUCCCGUGCUCUCAUCCAGAAAUCCGGAUCAUUUUCUGAAGCCCCCAUGGCUGUUACAAAACACAGAAAUGAACACUUUGAGAUGAACGACGACGGUUUCGUUUCGUUUUGUCUUAUUUCCCUCACGCUUUCCUACAACUCUUAACCGCUGAUAUAGGGCAACUUUUGCAUUUGGAUGAAAAUGCCCAUGUUUUGUCCCGCACGUCACGUGUUGAGGAGCCCAAAAGUAUAUACCCUCCGUUAUCAUUAAUCCAACACACCCAUGACCCAUCUAGACAAUUUUUUCUUUCUUUCUUUUUUUAGGCCUGUAAUUUGUAUUUUUCAUAGAUUUUUUUUAUUUUCAUUUGAAAUUUGCACUUGAAACUCUGAAAUUAAUUAAAAAAAAUUAUAGGGAUUAAAUGGUAUUAUAUUGACGAAAAUGCCCUCAGCUGACAGACAAAUAAUCCCAAAUGAAACCGCCAACAAAAAAAAAAAAAACCCUGUUUACCACUUUGAAUGUGACUAAAAUCUGCAUAGUCACAAAACCUCAUGAACAGAACCUCAAGAAAGACCAUUCUCUGCUCCGGGCAACUCCGUGGGAACCGGAGGGCGUAGAGCAGCCCCGGGACUGCCAUAAGGAAGCUCCGGACACCGAUCCGAAACACCGGUGCAUCCCUGGCCAGUGGCCAGUGAAUACAUUCCACAGUGCAUGCUGCCACCACAAUGGGGCUGAAGGAAUGCUUCACCAGCUUCAUCAUGAACUCGCCGCGGCGGAGGAAUCUAAGCACUCGGCUGUCCUGGUAUUCCAACAGCAUCAGGUCAGCAAUGUUCACCCUCAAUGCCUGUAUCAGUUGCCCACAUGGGAACUGCAGGCAUCUUUCCUCAAAACUUAAGAUUGCCCUAGAAUUAGGGUUUGAUGACUUUGGAGGAAGCAGCGAAGCUCUCGGCAUGAUGUUAUGAAUCAAAAAUGGUAAAGCAACAUUGAGGAUGAUUCCGAGGAGGAGAGAGAUUGAGGUGCAAUGGGUUGGGUCGGAAGUAGAGAGUACUAAAUAGAGGGAGGAGUCGGUGCAGCGUGGCAUUGUUGUUUCAGAGGAUUGCCACAUUGCAUCAAAGGAGGGAAAAUGUGGCAAUGGCUGGGAGCUGGAGUUAUGCAUGGAUUUAAUUGCAUUUUGGACUUUUCUUCAGUUCAUCUUCCCUCACAGCUAAUCAUCCAUUUGCCAUCUUACUUUAUGCUUUCUCCUUGAGUUCAUCCCCACCAUCUCAAAGACAAAAAGGGAAAACCCUAAUUAAGCUCCUGGCCCCACGAGUGAUGGGCCAAAGAAAUGGAGAAGAGAUUUAAGUAUUCCUACUAUGCAAUAAUACUGAGUAAUUUGUUAUCUAUACUAUUACUUUUGUAGCUAUCUAUAGAUAUGUAGCAAUAUAGUUAUUAUUCAUGAAGUAUUUAUAUUUGUUUUUAAUCAUUGUUAUGGUUAAUUGAUGUUUAUCAUUUAUCCUUUGGCUGCCAACAGCCCAAAGACAAAAAUAAAACCCUAAUUCAGCCCCUGGCUCCACUGGUGAUGAUCAAAAGAAAUGCAGAGACAUAUAAGAAAUUAAUAAGCUUUUAUUCUAAUCAGUGAUUAGUACUAAUUUUUGUCAUUUGUGUUCUUUAUUAUAUAUAUAUUUUUUUCUAGUUUGAUUGAUCAUUUAUGAAGUACAUGUUUAAUUUGAGCUGACAACAUCGCCAAAAUCCAAUGCCUUUUUCAUACAUCAUCAUAUAUAUAUAUAUAUAUAUAUAUAUUUGUUUUUAAUCGUCGUGACUGUUGAUUAACUGAAAUCUUUGUCGCUUACCGGUUUUCAUAUUCAUGGAAUCCGUUAUUUAACUGAUUUGUUGUCGUUUAUCGCUCGUUAUGCUUAUUUUUAAUCCUUAGUCCAUACCGUUGCUUCUAUUGGGUUUUAGUGGAUGUUCAAGGCAGUGGUAUUCCUUUGUUUAUAAUUAAUUACAAUAGUAGUUUCCACCAUCAUUUAAUUAUUUUUCCCUAUUCCACUUUCCAUGCAUGGAGCACCAGUGAAUGGUUCAUUAGAUGAUACAAUUUGGACUUGAUUAGGACAUAUAUUCUUUAGUUUCUUCAAUAGCUGGUGUAAAAAGUAAUUAACUUCUCAUCUUAACUGCAAAUUAUAUGAUCCCCGACUUAAUUACUUGAUGGAUAGAUAGAUAGAUAGAUAGAUAAGACCAACUGGUUUUGAUUUGGCUUCAUGCAAAUAUGACAAGAUUAAUGCUUACACAAUCCAUGAACCUUGAAACCCAACUUGCGGUCCGAGUAGGAACUAGUAUAUAUUAAAGUAUACUGAAAAAAUUUCAACUCGUUAAACAACUAGAUUUGAUGGUUGGGUGCUAGAGGGUUGGUGCUUGUUCAAUGGUUUGUAUCUUAUAUAAACAACCAAUUAAUAUUGCCUUUAUAUUUUGAAUGUCUCUAAUAUAUACUAUAUAUAUAUAUAUAUGAUUUGUAUGAUUAUGUGUUGGUUAAUUUAUAUAAUCUUGACAUUGGUCAUUUCUUAAUUUCUAUACUCAUUAUUAUGCUUCAUCUAUUGAUAUAUGACUCCAUUAAUAUUUGUCAAACCAUACUUACAAGUGCUACCAAAUAUGCUAAAAUGGAUAUAUAUUUCCUUCCCAAGUUGUCUCCAUGUGGCUCGUCUGCUUUCUCAAAAUUUUAUGUUUCUUUUCUGUUUUUCCUAUUUUUGUUUUCCAAUUUAAAGGAAAAAAAUAGGAAAAGAUUCUGAUUGUUCACAUAGACAAUCUAACCAGUUCAUGUUGUACAGUGUGAACAUCAAUUGCACCUCUUGGUUGAAAGAAAAUAUAUUAAUUAUUAAUUGAAUUAAUUGGAUAAUAUUUGAAGAUUUGACCUGCUGAAGAAUGAAACGAUUUGAGAAGAUAUAUUAUUUUGGGCAAUGAAUAUGCAAACCACUAAAAUUCUAUCCAGUUAAUUGAUUGCAGGAGGAAUUUGAAAGAAGAUGUUCAGAGUCAAUUAACACUUGAAAGCUCUUCUAUCUAUCAUGCCUUGGUACAAGCGGAAAUGAAGUUUACUGAUUGUGUUCUGAAGUGCUUGCUUCUCCUUCCUCCGUCUGCCUCAUCUCAAUACCGGCCAUGGGUUGAGGUCCAGGAUUGGUGCCAUUCCCGUUUUCUCUCCUUUCGACUAUUCCUGUUUGAUGGUUGGCGGGUCUCACCGGCAACUCUCCAGCGUAGAUCAGUACACGGAGUAAACAAGCGAGUCCCGAUCGGUUCAAGCACCAAACUUUGAAUCCGACAGGAUGCACUCCGCCGGGCCUGUUUUCUGCCCUUAGAAGGUGACCCUGGUCAGUUGCGAUCACCCAAAUGAACUGCAGGGCUUCGACUAUAUUGGUAAACACAACAAUGGUCGGGUAAGACUCUGGGCCGUUAGCCGCAGCUCUGCCGUUAUGGAUGUGUGGCCGAAGGUCAUGGAUGUCACAGUGUGUGGGAUUGAGGAGACCGACUGGGAAGGCCUUCAUCACCAACUGAGCUGCAUCCGACAUGCGGACAGCUCUCAACAGCUCCGAGGCUUGGCUGCCUACUGCAGUUGGGGAUAGUCCAAUGAAGUGACCGUAUUGCUGAAGCCUAGCGUGCAGAAUAGGUUGUACCUGCGCUCGGGCCUUCAGCCAGAAACUCAGUUGAUCUUCAGACACUCCAACAUCUGGAGAUGAAUGAGUAUUAAUUGGUGUUGAAAUGGUGAAGUUUUUGUGUUGACUUUUCUCUAGCUUACAUGGAGAGAAUCUUUUACAGGUGUUUGAUUUAAAAUUCUCUCUCUAAAAAAAGGUACAAAUUUGAAAUUUUAAAUUCAUGGUAAGCAAAUAUUUUAUUAUAAUCCCAAGUCAAAUCGUCAAGAGAAGUAGUCUCACCAGUUGCUACGUGUUUAAAAUCUUCAUAAUGGGAAAACUGCCUGAACACGUCCGCAAGCAGGGUGACGGUACUCUCGGUGGAGGUUGGUGGGAACCAGAGGGCGUAAAGGAGGCCUGGCAGGGCGAAAAGAAAGCUCCGGCUGGCGACACGAACAACCGGAGCAUCCCUGGCUAGUGGCCAGUGCAUAUUAUCGACCAUGCAAGUGGCCACGAUGAUGGUGCUGAUGGUGUGCAGCAUCAGCUUCAUCACAAAAUUCCCUCUCUUCAAUAAGCGGAGGAUGUGAGUGUUCUCAUACUCCAUCAACAUCAAGACAGCACCCUCCGCUCGUACGACCUCCAUCAGCGUCCCCAUGGGGUACUCCUGUAUGCGACCUGCGGCUCCCGAGGGAAUGUUCAAUGGCCUCGGCAUCCUGGACAGGAAACUGGACAUUCUGGAGGUUGGCUGGCGGGAGGAAGAGCUUGCCAUUAUGGUAUGAAAUGGAGGAAAAGAAGUGUUUGGGAACAAGGGUUUUUGGACAGGAAGAGAGAAAUGGUGAUACUAUGAUAGCAAGAAGAGGGGUUGAGGUGAAGUAAUGGAGAGGAAAGGGGGAGGAGGAGGCAUUAAAUGGAAGCUGAGAAGAGGGUUGGUGGGUGGUGUGCGUGUCAACAGUGUCGAAUGCAUGGGUGAGAGAUGCUUUGGACGUUGUUUGUGUGCUUUGCCACAUUGCACUGAAGGAGAGACAAGGUGGCAAUGGCUUACAGAAAGGUGUUAUGAGUAGGUUCAACUGGACCUGGCCUUUGGAUUUUCCUCUUAAGUUCAGCUUCUCUGUCGACAGCUAAUCACCAAUUUUCCAUCUGGGUAUAAUUUUCACCAACCCCACAAAAAACAAAACCUAGUCUCUUGAGUCUUAACCCAACGGACAAUCGGUCAAAGUAAAUGGAGAAGAUCAGUGUUAUAAAACUUUCUGUUGAAGUUGAGAAUAAAUAUCCCACGCCUGGGUCAGUAAGCCUUAAGUAACCUUAAUUUUGUGAUCUAAUCUCGAAACUACUCCUCCAUGACAUAUGGGUAGUUUGGUCAUAUUAACUGCACCAUGAAAACCAUUUGUCCACGUGGAAAUAAAUAAAUAAAAAAGGGAUCCCAUUGAUUCUGUGAAUUCGGAAGCUAAUGAAAUAGUUGACGCAAUCAUUCACCUCAUAUAUUGUCUACAUAAUAUAUGAUCCAUUGACUUUUCUUGGUCUGGCUUCGUGAAAAGACGACAAAAUGCCUACCUAAUCCGUAAAUCUUCAAACCAUAUGAUCCAAAAAGAAAUAAUGUCAACAUAAUUGGUUUCAUAAAACUAGUACCUAUUUUACAAUAUUAAGAAUUUUAGACAUUUUUAAGAUAGUAAAAACCCUUAAUUUGAUCACAUUCACAUUGCACAAGAGGUGUUUAAUGUUACGUAUGAUCAAAUGAGGGCAUUGCACUGUUGCCCUAUAAUCCUCUUAGAGUAUUAGUAAGUCUUGUAUUUGGGCUCCAUAUAUACAAUCCACUAUCUUAGAACUACAAAUUGAAGGGAGCGGAGAGGAGAAACAAAUGGAUGAAGCAAACAUAUAAAUUAUGGAGAGGCGGUUUGAACUUUUGAUUUCUUCUCAAACCAAAUCCUUUUAGCAUAUUAAACUAUCGAUUUUUCUAAAAACUUAAGGUUACGAAAUUUAAACUUUAUAUAUAUAUAUAUAUCAUGUUUCUUAAUAAGAAACACAUCUUAUGUUAAGUUAAAUUGGAAGAUUUCUGUUUAUGCUUCAAGUCACUAAUUUAUGAAGCUAAAACCCAUGUCUCUUCCCUUGAAAACGGUUGGUGUAGGGGAUUUCUACCGCUAGUUGGUCUUGUACUUCUUUGACUUGGAAUUGCUCCUGUUGAACCCUUAAGCUAAAUUAUGACAAAGAAGGAAAUGUGUCAUUUAUUUGAUUGUUUGUUUGAAGUAUUAGAUUUCCUUUGAACUUGGUUUUUCCAUGAGAUGUUAAUUUUAUUAUCUCGUCUUUUCAUCUGAUAUCGGUGAAAGGGCUUUAAAAAGUGGAAAGGGGUGACCCGAAUUGCAAUGAGGGGAUAUUUGGAAAAGGAGGUGUUGAUUGCUUUUGUGGAAAACUUUUCGGUUGGAAUUACCCUUAGGCAAUCCCAAUCCUUACCCCUAGCAUUUCAUUGUCUAUGUAUUCUCUAAAAUUUUAGGAGUCUUAACCCCCCUUAUUCUCCACAAGAUCAUUCUAUUUCCAAAACUCAAUGAAAACCCAUCACCUCCCUGGCAUCCUUUAUGUGUUUUUUUGUUUUUUCUGAGAUUCGACACUUGACUCGUUGAGUUUUUAUUAUAUGAUCUGACUCCUCACAUUUAGGGAUAAUUAAUUUAGAGCAGUCAUAUAAGAGCAAGCAGAUCAUUGGACCCUGGAACUCCAAUAUUGUGUACCAUUUUUUUCCCCAAAUUUAUUCUGAUCCAAGGAGGGGAUUGAUUUGGGUUGGUAAUGGCCUACGGAAAACCCUCAUGAUUUUAUUUUAGUAGAUUCAACUCCUACUUGAGGGCUUAUUGACUAUUGUACUAUGAAUGAUAAAUAACAAGUGGACCUUAAAGAAAAUGAGGCAAGCAAUUAUAUGGAAGAGAACUCCGAUUAUUUUAUCAAAUUGGUGGAACACUUAUCCAUAGGUCAUCAAUAACAACUUUUUGAGCUGACCCAUAGACCAUGGGACACUUCAUUAACAUUCAUUUUUACACUACUAAUUACUGAUAUAUUAAUUGUAAGAGUGAACAAAUUAAUAAGAUGAUUAGAAACUUGAAGAAAAAAACAAAGAAAAUAAAUAACACAAGUAGAUGUGGAUGGUCCCAAAAACUGGCCAUUUCUUAUUAUCAAGAACAAUAAUCAAACCCCACAGGGCCCACCCGAUUAGUAGUAACCAUAGGCUAAAGAAGCUGACAUCAUUAUUUAUUAACAAAACUACUAAAUUCCACUGAUAAGCUUGGCACAUGGACAUAGAUUUUUUUUUUCCCCUGGUUUGGGUUGGACCUUUUGGGGUCGGUUGGUUGGGGGUUUGGACAUUACAUAAGAAGGAAGCAAUAAAAAAAGAACUCACAGCACACCACAUGCACAGCAAGAAGGAAAUUCAAAAUAGACAUCUUCUCAAGGACAAGCCAAUCAAGAAGUAUAUAUACAUGUAUGCAUGACAAAUUGGCUUUUUUCUGUCAAUUAAGCUACAUUAUCCCAUGUCUCUCCUGCUUUUCCGGCCGUACCGGACGAUGCAAAGCCGGCCGGAUGGAUCUUAGAUCUCCUCACAAAGCUACAACCACUGUCGCUCUUCUCUGCAACCCCAUCUGCACCCACUCCUCUCUUCUCGUUCGCCCCAUCCACUCUCUUCAUUUUCUCUUCACAUCUCUUUUGUUGCACGUAAACCCUAGCAAAACUUGCGCCGAUGGAGGACAUGAUGGCCUGAGAACAAAAAAACCCUAGACAAGAAAAGAGAGGUAUGAGCUGAGGAUGUGUGUUGUGGGAAUGGAGACCCAAGAAUUUAUAGGGGUUUAGGAGGAAAAGCAUAUCACCGAAUUUGACUUAUCUUAUUCCUAGAGGGUGGUAUAGAACACACAGAAAAGGAAAUAGUGGUGAGCGCACACCAUUCUAGCUACUUUAGAAUACGGAGAUGAGAAGUGGGGUUGUGCAUAGGAAAAGAAAAAAAGGAAAGGUGAGGCAACCACUUUUGAGUGGCUAGCUCUUUCAUGGCUUAACCAUUAAUACCACAAAUGUGCCACCUCAGCUUAGGUUAUUCAUGGAAAAUGGAAAGAAUGGAGGGUGCAUA